rnacentral:lncRNA from 1 species
CUUAACCAUAGCACCCACUGCAUAUCAUUCCUAUAAGGAGCAUGUGAGAUGUAGGCUGUGUUGAGGAAUAAGUAACAGAAUUGUAAUUACAGCCCAGAGAAAAAGAUCUUGAGAUCAUGUUCAGGUUUACGCCUGACAGAUGGUGAGAUGGAACCUAUCUUCUGUACAGUGAAGGUGUUGUAACCUCACGAACUUGGGAGAAAGAAGGGAUCAUUAUCUGUGGAGCCUAUUUUUAGAUAUUUUCUCUUAUGUCCUUAUAAAGAAAAUACAAAGUCUCCGGUUUGAUUACUCUGUCUGUGUUGGUAUGACCUUAAUUAUUAUGUUUUUAAGAUCCUUGCCCAAAGUCUGUGCACUUUGCUGAGUUUUUCAUUAAAAAGCUCCUUUUUGGACUUAGCAAAUGCUCAGUCUUUUUCACUUCAAUAGUUGGAAAUUUUCCCUUGGGGGUCCUACGCUCUUUAAAUAUUUUUAGGUUGCCAGUUUUCUUCUGUUGGCUCUCCGGGAAGCCAAUUUGGUUCCAAAGCCCCUGAGAGUAGCCUGGCUCCUUCUUUCGCACACACCCAUUGCAUCACAAUAAAAUGCCGCCUAAUUACUGCCUUUGUGGGGUCCCAGAGGCUGGGUGUUUGUCUCCAGGCUAUGCUGUGGACUAUAAACUCUUCUCAGAUGAGAGAUAAACCGCUUCAUUAUUGAAAUCUCCAGGUCUUGUAGCAGGAGUUUCCUCCUACCAAAUCGUUUCCAGGCUUGGGAGAGAAUUGAUCAAAUGAGACCGUGUCAUUCAUCUCGAAGUAAUUUCCAGUGGGAUCAGCUUAAGAGAAAUGUCCCUUGCUUGUGGUGCCCAGAUCUAAAGAGGGAUUCUCCCCCAAAUCGAAUCCUUUUCUUGAUUUUGUUUCCUCAUUUCUGGUACGAGGAGGGAGUUCAUAGGUGAUUAGUCCUUGACAUGGGAACAUACUGUGAAAUGUUUUGGGGAGGCAGAUUUUAGUAGAGAAACAGUGACGAGGACGGGGGCUCUGUACUGCUUGGGCUGCUUUCUCCUGACAGUGGCUGCAGAAAGGAGGUCAGUUGCAUAGGUGAUGGAAGGACCCUGGGAUCUUUGUGCUUCAAGGUCCAACGCCUGGACCUCUUUCCCAAGCGACCCUCGGACCCACUCUGCUUAUGUACCGGCAUCUCUGGAGCACAUCCGUAGUCUCUACAGCAGUGCUUCCCAAUCUUAGCUGCAAACUGGAACCACUUGGGGACCGUCAAAAACUCCCGAUGCCCAGUCCCAUCUCCACUACCACCCACCCCCAUUAAAAUUUUCAUUGGUCACAGUGGGGUCGAGGCAGGCGCGUAUUUAACGUGCUCCGGGUGACGCUAACGUGCUACAACGUUGAGAAUUUGCUGCCCUAAAGUCCCUCGGAGAAGAAAGCUUCUCCUCCCCCAUCGGCCUGCUGCAGGUGCACCUGUGGGGGUGGGGGCCGCCGGGGUGUCACAAAGGCAAUAUAUGCUGCAAAAUUAUUGACUGCAGUAAAAGGCACUGUAACAAGUAUUCUCAUUAUUUUGCUGAAAUUACCAAACCAGUUAUAAAGCACUUUCACACGUACCCUGGGUUCUGUCCCCAUAAGCAUCCCCCCCGCCCCCGCCCCAGGCAGAUAGGGAAGGUGUUACUAUGUGCAUUUUUUGUAGAUGAGGAAAUGUGGCUCAAAAAGGCCGAAUGACAUUCCAAGAUGACACAGCUAAGCAGCUGGCAGUGCUGGGGUUAGAAUCCAGCCUUCUGAUUGCGUUUCCCUUGUAACAGAUCAAUAGUAUUAUGAAUUAGAAUUCCAUACAAUUCUAGUUACUUACUCACUGUGUGACCCAGAGACAGUCACUUAACCUCUCAGUUUCCUCAUCUAUAAAAUGGGAUAAUACUUGGACCUCCCUCACAGGGCUGCUCUGGGAUCAAAGGAGAUAAUGCUACUUUUUUUUUUUUUUUUUUUAAUCUGUGAGAGAGAGAGAGAGAGAGAGAAAGUGUGGGCACAAGCGUGAUUGGGGGGAGAGGCAAAGACAGAGACAAAGGGAGGGGGACAGAGUAUCCAAAGCAGGCUCUGAGCUGACAGCAGAGAGCCUGACAUGGGGCUCGAACUCAUGAACUGUGAGCCGAAGUUGGAUGCUUAACCGACUGGGCCACCCAGGCAUCCCUGCAUCUGGGAUUUUAAAUUAACCCCAAAGUGUAAGUUGCUGCCUUGUAAUAUCUUAUUCUUUUCCGUGUCGCCUGCAUAUGUUUUUGGCCUGAUUUAUUCAUGAAUUCACCAGCCAGGAAUCCAGAACUGACCUGAGAAGACCAGGUUUCCCAGAGUCAAAGAAGUGUCUGAAAGUGAGACACUGCAUCCAUUUUGGAUUCACACUUCCCUUCCUGCUGAACUCCUGAAUUUUCUGGCUCAUGAAGGCAGCUGCAGCAGCUGCUGUGUGUGUCCUUAACCACCCUCGAAGUCUGUAACACGUCAUAUUACCUCAUUUUGGCUCCCUGGGCCUGUUUUGAAAGGCCCUGAAUUAGUCACGUGGGGUACGUGAUCCAAAAUCACAUG